rnacentral:rRNA from 1 species
CGCCCGCCAGAGUUAAACCAAACUCUUGUUAUUUAACCGGUCGUCUGAGUUAAAAUUUUGAAUAAAUCAAAACUUUCAACAACGGAUCUCUUGGUUCUCGCAUCGAUGAAGAACGCAGCGAAAUGCGAUAAGUAAUGUGAAUUGCAGAAUUCAGUGAAUCAUCGAAUCUUUGAACGCACAUUGCGCCCCUUGGUAUUCCGAGGGGCAUGCCUGUUCGAGCGUCAUUACACCACUCAAGCUAUGCUUGGUAUUGGGCGUCGUCCUUAGUUGGGCGCGCCUUAAAGACCUCGGCGAGGCCACUCCGGCUUUAGGCGUAGUAGAAUUUAUUCGAACGUCUGUCAAAGGAGAGGAACUCUGCCGACUGAAACCUUUAUUUUUCUAGGUUGACCUCGGAUCAGGUAGGGAUACCCGCUGAACUUAAGCAUAUC